rnacentral:rRNA from 1 species
AGCGAACGCUGGCGGCAGGCCUAACACAUGCAAGUCGAACGAAGUCUUCGGACUUAGUGGCGGACGGGUGAGUAACACGUGGGAACGUACCUUUUGGUUCGGAACAACUCAGGGAAACUUGAGCUAAUACCGGAUGAGCCCUUAGGGGGAAAGAUUUAUCGCCGAAAGAGCGGCCCGCGUUAGAUUAGCUAGUUGGUGAGGUAAAGGCUCACCAAGGCUACGAUCUAUAGCUGGUCUGAGAGGAUGAUCAGCCACACUGGGACUGAGACAAGGCCCAGACUCCUACGGGAGGCAGCAGUGGGGAAUCUUGCGCAAUGGGCGAAAGCCUGACGCAGCCAUGCCGCGUGAAUGAUGAAGGUCUUAGGAUUGUAAAAUUCUUUCACCGGGGACGAUAAUGACGGUACCCGGAGAAGAAGCCCCGGCUAACUUCGUGCCAGCCGCCGCUGUAAGAC